rnacentral:lncRNA from 1 species
AAAAUAACACUGGACAGUGACUGCAAUGGAAUCCCAAGCAUUUCUGUUACAGGACAAAAAUCAUCUUCAUGUGCUUUUGCUUUGCAUAAGAGGCACUGUCACUUGUGUUAGGACUUUCUGUUAAGUUGUAGUCCUUUGAAGUUCUCAAGUAACUAAAAAAACUAUAUGUCUUGUGGCAUCCUGGGUAAUUUUAUGAUCUGCAGGAAGCUAAAGAACUCUGGGCAGGAUUUUAGACACAGGAGUACCUCCAGCCUGGUCAAAAUAAUUUAUUUUUCCACUAAUACUUAGAUAGGUUAUAGGAACCCUCCUCCUUCCCAAUAACAUUUAUUUGCUUUUUUACUCAUUCAAAAAGUAGAAUUCCUGGGCACUGUCCUAGAUGUCGAGGAUGUCAGGGUAAACAAAAUUCAGAUGGUCUCUGCCUUUCAUGGUUCUUGUAUCUUAUCAUUGUACCAUAUUCUAUCAGGUUCCUUCAUUCACUCUUAUUCAUCUGUCAAAUACUUAUUGUACACUUACUAUGUGCCAGAAAUUGUUUUGAAAGCUUUGGGAUAUGUCAGUCAACAAAAGAAAGAUUUCUGCUUUUCUGGGCUCUAACGAAGGAAGACGGACAAUAAGAAACAUGAAAAAUGAGACAAAUUAUAUAGUAUUUUGAAAGGUGAUGAGAGCUAUACAGAACAAAAAGAAAAAGAAAAACUAGAUCAUGUUAAGAGAGAUUGGGAAGAUCAGGGUAGCAGGGAAACAGUUUACAGUUUGAAAUAAGAUGCCCUAGGUAAACCUCAUCAGGAAGGUAAUGUUGGAAUAAAGAUUUGCAUGAGGUGAGGGAGUGAGCCGUGUAGAUAUUUGUGAUCAGAACAGUCUAGACAGGUAGUGUCAAGCUUCUAGGUGGGAGUGUGCCUCGUCUGUUUGAAGAACAGUGAGGAGCAAUUCACUAGAACAAGUUGGAAAAGAACAGUAACAAGAACUGAGUUCGGGAGGCAAUAGGAGGCCAGAAUGUGUGAUGCAGUAUGCCCCAUUUAGUCAGAGGUACUCUUCAAGUUUAGGAGCAGAGGGUAAUGUGACUGGCCUGUGUCAGGUUUCAGCCUCCUGUCAACAAAAUGCUGUGGCCAUCCACAUCAUAUAUUAUGAUGGAACCUUAGUGACAAACCUUAUCAAGAGAAAUGGGAUAAAUUAGCCAUCAGCUGUGUCGUCACCCUUUCUCCAGGCAAGACCCCUCUUGUUAGCUGUUGGCAUCUUCUGCUACUUCACUUAUAAGUAAGCAGUGAAGCAUCCAGACUUUGUGUUUUUAGUCCCCUCCCUCGUGUCCAGCAGACAAAUAUCCAGAAUUAGAUAGAAUUACAUAGUAUAUGGCUGAAAUAUUGUGUCACUCAUUAAUCUAUGACAGCAAGAUCCCUAAUACUUUAGUGACAAGUCUAGAGCACUUGCCCAAUUCAGACUAAAGCCAUUAUAACACUCAAAUGUGAAAAGCCAACAUUAAUUGAAAUGUAAAUGAUAGUCUCUCAUGAAGUUGGAUACUUGCUUUAUAUUAGAAACUUAAAGAGAAUCUUAAUCCUUUCAUAAAGCAGGUAAAUACUUUUAAUUGAUCUUUAACUGCAUAUAUAGGAUAAAAUUAAACAUGACACUUGUUCUUUCAAAGUUCAUAGAAGAAAUUCUAAAGCAUUUUAAGGGAUCUGAGCCAUACAGUUUUUCCCAUAUGUAGCUGACAUACCAUCAAGAGGAAAAAAAGCAACCAUAAAUAUGCCUUAUUUAGGCUCUAAAGAGCUAAUCAGAGACUACAGUUAAGUUUAGUGAUGAUAAACUUGUUUUAACAAGACAUUUAUGUCUGGUUACAAUUGGCAUUUAGGAAAAGCGUGCUUAGAUUGAAUCCAGCAAAGUAAAAUUGAGCCAAAUUCUAGAUAGAGCUCAUUUAGACCACCCUCUGUAGAUAAUUUAUUAUCUAAUCACUUCCCAUUUAAAAAAAUUCUUAGUAUGUUUAGUGUUAAGAUAUUAUGAGAGCCAAGGAUGGCAGCCAGAGGUCAAGUUAGUCAAAGACCAUGAACAUAGUGCAUUGUCCUUGAAAAUAACUUGGUGGAGAGAAAGGAAUGUGAGGUCUGCAUCUGACAGCUUCAGUUCUCUGGGCUCGUUGAAACUCUGUUCUCAGUGGUCAUUUAUGUUUCUCUCAGAUCAGCAGUAGCAUUUAUUUUUAGAGAGAGUUUUGAAACUUAAUCACUCAGCACAAUACAGAACUAUAAAUGGAUAAAUAAGUUUUGUUCAGGAGCAAAAGAGAUAUAAUCAUUUCUCCUGACAUUUUGAAGCUGCUUCUGUGGAGUUGGGUUGUUAGGCCAUGGAGCAAGAGGACUGUUGUCUGGUGUGGUGUCAUACUGCAGGACUGUCCCCUUACUCUAGUCAGAGUUCAGUAUGUUGGUGUCCAAGUGGGAGAUGUGGAUGGAUGAGGCUCCAGGUUGUCCCAGGCAGCUCAGUCCUCUGUUUUAGUCCAUUCAGGCUGCUAUAACAAAGUGCCAUAUAAGCCACAAGAUGGCUGGCUUAUAAACAACAGAAAUUUACAUUGUACAGUUCUAGAGGCUGGAGAACCCUAGAUUGAAGCGUUGGCAGGUUCAGUGCCUAGUAACAGCUCAAUUCCUCAUAGAUGGCCAUCAUCUCAUUGUGUCCUCAUAUUGUGGAAGAUGCGAGGGGUCUCUUUUAUAAGAGCACUAAUCCCACUCAUGAGUGCUCCACCCUCAUGACCUAAUCACCUCCCAGGCACCCCACCUCCUAAUGCCAUAACAUUGGGGGUUAGGAUUUCAACAUAAGAAUUUUUGUGGUAACACAACAUUCAGUCUAUAGCACCACAUUAGGGAUUUAGAUAAGCACACCCUAGACGGAUAUUGAGCAUCCUCGUUGCUGAAUGUAAAAGAUCUGCAAGGAUUUGUUUCUUUAUAUCAAUGCAUAUUUCAGCUGUAUUUGGCACUGAUGACCCUACCUCCUCCUUCUUUUACCCUUGAUUUCUUGGUCUUUCUCUACUCCCACGACUAAGGCUGUCUUCCUUUAUUGACAUCUCUUCCUCCUUAACUACCCAUUCAAAAUGCUCUUCUUCCCUGGGGAGUCUCCCUGGGCCCUGUGUUUAUCUCACACAUCCCUUUCUAGUGCACACUGAGAGUUUGAACUACUUGAAAAUUAAUGACUUUAAAGUUGUUAUCUUUACAUUAUAUUUUGCCCUAAAUUCUAAGUAUGGCUCUAUCUAUAGAUGUAUUUAUAACAGUAACUGCCACUAAAUUACUAUAAUUAUGUAUUUGGUUUUGCUUGUUUGUUUUUAAAACCUUUUCAUGCAUUGCAGUUCCACUCAAGUUUCCUCUGCUAUGGACUGCUUCUUCAUACACUUUACCCAUUUUUCUGUUGGGUCAUCUUUUUUUUUUUUCCAAUUUGUAGGAAUCCUACUGUUAGUACUUAGAUUCUGAGUACUAAUUUUUUGACUAUCAUACAAUUUUCUAAUUUCUUUCUCCUUUUCAUAACUUAUCUUUCAUUCGUGUUCUUUGUCAUACAAAGAUUUUAAUUUUCAUGUAGUCAAAUUUAUCUAUCAUUUUGUGAUUUCUGCUUUUUGUGUUCCUUUUAAAAAUAAUUCUCUCCCCUGACAUCAAGGAGACACUCUCAAGUAUUUUAUUUUAUUCCAAACUUCUGUAUGUGCCCUGAUCAAUGUAUUGGUUCAUUCUAAUGAAUGGUGAAAUGAAUAUUUAAUGCACUAAGAACAACCAAAUGGAUAUUUUUUGUUGUUGAUAUUUGUUCUCUUUUAUUUAUUUACUAACAAAAUAGUAAUAAAGGCGUUACAUUUAGGCUACACUAGAUUUAAUAUUUAUUUAAUAAGAUCAUUUCUCUUAUUUCUCUUCCUCCUCCUUUUCUUUUUCUCCUCUUCCUCUUCCUCUUACUCCUACCUCUCCU